UAGCAUAGAUCCGAAAGAUGAUGAACUAUACUUGAGCAGGAUGAAGCCAGAGGAAAUUCUGGUGGAAAUCCGAAAUAAUUUUGACGUAUAAAACGAUCGUCUAACUUUGGUAUACAGGCGAAAGACUAAUCGAACAAUCUUAGUAGUUGAUUCCUUUUGAAUUUUCCCUCAGAAUAGCUGGAAUAUGUAAUGAAGCUGUUAUAUUCGAUAAAGUGUUUGAUUGGAGGAAUAGUGGGACGAAAAAUUUUCAGUCUGUCCCCAAACUUUCAAAUGAAUAUGAUAUUUCGUUUGCUUGAAUGA
rnacentral:ncRNA from 1 species